GCAGUGGUAGUUCAGUAGCAGAAUUCUUGCCUUCCAUGUAGGAGACCCGAGUUUGAUUCCCGGCCAGUGCA
rnacentral:tRNA from 1 species